GGAAAACCUUUAGUACGGGCGAGUGAAGCGGUAAAAGCUCAAAUUUGAAAUCUGGUACUUUCAGUGCCCGAGUUGUAAUUUGUAGAAUUUGUCUUUGAUUAGGUCCUUGUCUAUGUUCCUUGGAACAGGACGUCAUAGAGGGUGAGAAUCCCGUUUGGCGAGGAUACCUUUUCUCUGUAAGACUUUUUCGAAGAGUCGAGUUGUUUGGGAAUGCAGCUCAAAGUGGGUGGUAAAUUCCAUCUAAAGCUAAAUAUUGGCGAGAGACCGAUAGCGAACAAGUACAGUGAUGGAAAGAUGAAAAGAACUUUGAAAAGAGAGUGAAAAAGUACGUGAAAUUGUUGAAAGGGAAGGGCAUUUGAUCAGACAUGGUGUUUUUUGCAUGCACUCGCCUCUCGUGGGCUUGGGCCUCUCAAAAAUUUCACUGGGCCAACAUCAAUUCUGGCAGCAGGAUAAAUCAUUAAGAAUGUAGCUACUUCGGUAGUGUUAUAGCUUUUUGGAAUACUGUUAGCCGGGAUUGAGGACUGCGCUUCGGCAAGGAUGUUGGCAUAAUGGUUAAAUGCCGCCCGUCUUGAAACACGGGACCAGCAAAA
rnacentral:rRNA from 1 species